AGGAUGAACGCUGGCGGUCUGCUUAACACAUGCAAGUCGAACGGAGUAGCAAUACUUAGUGGCGGACGGGUGAGUAACGCGUGAGAAUCUACCUUCAGGACGGAGACAACAGUUGGAAACGACUGCUAACCCCCCGAUGUACUGAAAAAGGCAAAUAUUUAUAGCCUGAAGAAGAGCUCGCGUCCGAUUAGCUAGUUGGAGAGGUAAAAGCUCACCAAGGCGACGAUCGGUAGCUGGUCUGAGAGGACGAUCAGCCACACUGGGACUGAGACACGGCCCAGACUCCUACGGGAGGCAGCAGUGGGGAAUUUUCCGCAAUGGGCGAAAGCCUGACGGAGCAAGACCGCGUGGGGGAAGAAGGCUCGUUGGGUUGUAAACCCCUUUUCUCUGGGAAGAACACAAUGACGGUACCAGAGGAAUCAGCAUCGGCUAACUCCGCGCCAGCAGCCGC
rnacentral:rRNA from 1 species